rnacentral:hammerhead_ribozyme from 1 species
CCACUACUGAGGAGUCCUACAAUAGGACGAAACGGUUGUCCAGUGC